AGUUUACCCUGUACUGUGCUGCAAAAUAUUACUUUCUCCCCAUCUGGAAUUCUUCCCUUCCUCCUUCCUGCCGCAGUGGUGUACUGAGCACUUUCACGUAAGAGUAUUCCUCCACUCGAACAACCCCCCGGAGAAGUACUGGUGUCACUGCCACCUGCGAGAGUUUGCGGCUACCUCCCCAAGAGGCAGUCCCAGGGUUAUUGUGACCUAUGAUGUUUAUUCAACUACUGUUGACGGGCUGCUGUGCACAGGGAACCUAGUAGGCAAGACCCCUGCCAUCGUGCAGCUUACUGUCAGGUUGACACAGACCUUAAGGCAGAAUGAAGGAACAAGACAGCAAAGAAUGUGACUGGCCCCAUGGAAAGGAAGUUGUAUCCUAUCCUGGGGACUCUGUCCAGAUGUUCCAGGUGGUGACAAACAGCAACAUAAUAUAGUGGUUUAUGCAGACUUCUUCACACAUGUGAGGAGCAAGCUUGGAAGUUCAAAGGGUUUGAUGCCCAUACAUUGUGAAAUAUCAGAACAUUAGAGACAAAGAGAUAAUGUUCUAAGUGUCUGGAGAGGGAGAAAAAACAGGCCAUGUACAAGGAAUGAUAAUAAAAAUGACUCUGGGCUUCUCAGCAACAUUUGAAGGAAGAAGACAAUGGAAGAGUGUCUUCAAUGUGAUGGAAAAUGCCUUCCAACCUAGAAAUCCUAUAACCAACCAAACUGGCAAUGUGAAGAUUGACUAUAGACACUUGUAACAUCUGAACAAAAUUAGGCCAGGCGUGGUGGCUCACACCUGUAAACCCAGCACUUUGGGAGG
rnacentral:lncRNA from 1 species